AAGUCCAAGAACUUUACUUUCUCAGUGCUCGAAAGGCCUUUUGUGUCAGGAAGGUGCCACCAGCACUUGUUUGACAUGAAAUUCCCUGUAUACACAGUUGGGUAAGAGUGUGUGUCUUUAACCAGAAGGCAGGACUGUUCAACAUCAAUCCUUGGGUAUUUGCUGAAUCAAAUGUACCUUGUAUGUUUAAACUUUAGCACCAUCAUCAUUUACUUAUUUUCUUAAAGGCCUUUUGUUUACCUACUGAACCUCUCAGUACGUGAGCUCGACACAUUCCUGACUUAGUGAGUCACCCACUUUUUUUGUGGUGGGGCUCCAAUCACUUUGUGACAUAAGAUGUGGGUGUGGCCACGCUGAAGUACAAACAUUAAACAGGGGAAUUGUUGCAAGAGCAGAGAAUUGCAGAGGAAAUGGCAGCUCACGCAGUCAGCGUGCUCAUCACAGGGGCCAACAGAGGCCUAGGCCUGGAAAUGGUUAAGCAAAUGGUGGAGGCCUCCCACCCAGUGAGGAAGCUGUUCGCCUGCUGCAGAGACCCAGAUGGACCCAGAGCCGAGGGCUUGCAGACACUGGCAAAGAAGCAUCCUAACGUCAUCGUUGUGGUCCGUCUGGACGCCACUGACCUGAGUAGCAUCAAACAGUGUGCCAAGCAGGUGGGCCACGAGGUCGGGACAGGGGGUCUCAACCUGCUGAUUAACAACGCAGGCGUGCUGGCUAAAAGCACCUUGCAGGAAACCAGCUCUGGAGACAUGCAGAACGCCUUCAACACCAAUGUCUUGGGCCCCAUGAACAUCAUUAAAGAGUUCCUGCCUCACCUUCGUGCAGCAGCGAAGGCCAGCAGGAUACCGGGGAUGUCCACCAGCAAAGCAGCUGUCGUCAGCAUCUCCUCCUUUUUAGCUUCAAUGGAAACUGUCAAAGAGUCAUACGCCUUCUUCCCUGCGAUUUCCUACCGCAUCAGCAAAGCAGGUUUGAAUAUGCUGACACUGUGUGCUGCAGAGGAGCUGAAGAACGACCAGAUCCUGUUUUCCCUGCUCCACCCUGGCUGGGUUCGCACUGACAUGGGUGGAGAGGAGCUGAGCCUAACCACGCUUCACACCACAUACCCCCACCGCCCAAUUUAGGCCGGGGAAGUCAUCCAGCCUAACCUACUCGCCCCGCCCCCUCGACUCAUCCGUCUGCAGGGUAAAGAGAAGAGAGAAGGGCAGAUGGAUGCUCCGGAGAGUGUGCAGGGGAUGCUCAGUGUGAUGGCCUCCCUGACUGAGGAGCACAACGCAGCCUUCCUGGACUAU